rnacentral:misc_RNA from 1 species
GAUGAAGAACGUAGCGAAAUGCGAUAAGUAAUGUGAAUUGCAGAAUUCAGUGAAUCAUCGAAUCUUUGAACGCACAUUGCGCCCGCCAGUAUUCUGGCGGGCAUGCCUGUUCGAGCGUCAUUUCAACCAUCAAGCCCCAGGCUUGUGUUGGGGACCUGCGGCUGCCGCAGGCCCUGAAAACCAGUGGCGGGCUUGCUGUCACACCGGGCGUAGUAGAUUUUAUCUCGCUCAGGGCGUGCUGCGGGUUCCGGCCGUUAAAAAGCCUUUUUUACCCAAGGUUGACCUCGGAUCAGGUAGGAAGACCCGCUGAACUUAAGCAUAUCAAUAAGCGGAGGA